CCGGAUCUAGGCGGGAGGGCGGGGCUGCCGGCGGAGCCCCCAGCGGCGGAAGGAUUCGAGCCGCAGCACAGCGGCUGAGGGGCUCCCCCCUCGAGUGAGCUCCCAAACGUCACCGUCCACGUCAUGUCAAAAUAACCGGAUUUUUAAGAAAAACGGCUGAGACCAGCUCCAGAGAGAGGCUGAGCUGGAGAUGUGGCAGCAGGCAGGGCGGUGAACCCAGGGAUGUGUCUGUCACGUUUUCUCCCUACACGUACACAUUUACUGUCACCUGGGGCCAUAUUUUCAAUAUACGAUAAAUAAAAUUUGAAUGCUUUAGUUAUAA